rnacentral:lncRNA from 1 species
GGAGCAGAGGCUAGAGUUACUAUGCCAUAAUCUAAGGGCUAAGAUCUUGGCAGGCAGGCAUAGGCAACUUUUCCUAAGCAACUGUGGUUCUUUAGUGAGCUGAUGGGACAGGCCCCUCACUUUUGCAUUGGUCUAGUAAACAAAGAAAGGGAAAGGGAGAUACCAAGAUGGGUUUGCCAAAAGGAGCAGCCUUUACUCUCUGCCUAGUGACCCACUCUGCUCUUACUCACUUCCUGUAACUGCUGGAAAAAAGAAGUUGGAAAGAAACUCAGAAAGAGCAGAAAUGGUUUCAUAUUGAGAACACUUCACAGGCUGGACUCAGAAAGCCAUUAGUCUGCCUCACUGGAAUGCACUGCCUCUACCUGAAACCCUUCCAGUUCUCAGGCCUGGAACUCCUGGUACCAUUUGGUGGCACCUUCUAUUCUACAUGAUCUGGGAUCACUUCAACUGUUUCAAGAAGCCCAAAGUUAUGCUAUGAAGACCCCAAGUUCCUCCUGAAAUGCUUAUCAGGCAAGAUCCAGUUGGCCCACUUUUGGUACCCAAGGUCCAAUAUACUCAACUGUUCUUUCAUCCUCCAAAUGGCUACUUGAGAACACACCCAUUUCAGCACUUUCUCUUUCCGCUGGAAAUCUGUAAUAUCUUCUGCAAAUAAAUGACUGCGAGAGAAUAACUCCCCUAAUAAAUCAGAUGACUUUUAAAAAAUGCAGCUUUACUAAGCCUUCUUGAUAAUGCAGUUUCUUGCUAAUACUUUCCCUUUUUUUUUACAAAUGUAAAAUAGAUGUUUUUAUUAACUACUGGUAUUGCUGAAGUAUUAAUAGUUACCAGAUUUGGGGGCAGAGAAAGAUUUUUCUUUUAUUACUCUAGACAACUUGUAGCUUAGGUUUGUAUUUAUGAAACCGUUGUUUCUCUGACUGAGGCUCUUCAGAUCUCUUUUUGAUGGAAAAAAAAACUAGGGUCUGCUUUUGAACAUACAUUAUACAUCUUGGUGAGACAUCUAGGUGCUUCUGUAUUUUUCCGGUAAAAUUUGUGACAACAAGGUAAUAGCCAAAGGCAUGUUGUCAUCCUUAAAGUAGUUCAACUUACUUUUGCAUACAGUAAGAUUCAGGUGGCACAACAGAAAAUCUAAUGCUCUCUGUAGGUAUAUACGAAAAAAAAAGAAAACCUACUGCUCGUGUUAAAAGUAAAGCAAUCAAAUGGUAGAAAAAUUAUCAAAUAAUCUGGUAAAUCUGAGAGCAACUUCUGAUGUAUUAAUAUCUAAUACUGUUAAGGUUUGAUACUGGAUUGAAAAUAUAACUGUAAAAUAAGUUAAAUAAGCUCUUCUGAAUUUAGAAACCAUUUUCCCGGCCGGGUGCAGUGGCUCAUGCCUGUAAUCUCAACACUUUGGGAGUCCGAGGCUGGCGGAUUACCUGAGGUCAGGAGUUCGAGACCAGCCUGGCCAACAUAGUGAAACCUCAUCUCUACUAAAUAUACAAAAAAAUUAGCUGGGCGUGGUGACACACACCUGUAAUCCCAGCUACUCGGGAGGCUGAAGCAAGACAAUUGCUUGAGCCCGGGAGAUGGAGGUUGCAGUGAGCUGAGAUUGCACCACCGCACUCCAGCCUGGCCAACAGAGCAAGACUCUGUCUCAAAAAAA